rnacentral:rRNA from 1 species
UACGUAGGGUGCGAGCGUUGUCCGGAAUUAUUGGGCGUAAAGAGCUCGUAGGCGGUCUGUCGCGUCGAAUGUGAAAACCCGGGGCUCAACUCCGGGCUUGCAUUCGAUACGGGCAGGCUAGAGUUCGGUAGGGGAGCCUGGAAUUCCUGGUGUAGCGGUGAAAUGCGCAGAUAUCAGGAGGAACACCGGUGGCGAAGGCGGGACUCUGGGCCGAUACUGACGCUGAGGAGCGAAAGCGUGGGGAGCGAACAGG